GUGGGGAAUAUUGGACAAUGGGCGCAAGCCUGAUCCAGCAAUGCCGCGUGUGUGAAGAAGGUCUUCGGAUCGUAAAGCACUUUCGGCGGGGACGAUGAUGACGGUACCCGCAGAAGAAGCCCCGGCUAACUUCGUGCCAGCAGCCGCGGUAAUACGAAGGGGGCUAGCGUUACUCGGAAUUACUGGGCGUAAAGGGCGCGUAGGCGGCACCGUCAGUCAGGCGUGAAAUUCCUGGGCUCAACCUGGGGACUGCGCUUGAUACGGCGGAGCUAGAGGAUGGAAGAGGCUCGUGGAAUUCCCAGUGUAGAGGUGAAAUUCGUAGAUAUUGGGAAGAACACCGGUGGCGAAGGCGGCGAGCUGGUCCAUUACUGACGCUGAGGCGCGACAGCGUGGGGAGCAAACAGGAUUAGAUACCCUAGUAGUCC
rnacentral:rRNA from 1 species